AAUAACAAUCCAUGACUUUCCCCAUAUGAUAUUACAUAUAAAAUGACAACGGUCUUCAUUUCGACGCCAUCUCUGACGCCGUUAUUUUUUCAAACGUAUGGUAUAAUUUUUUAAAAAUAAUUUAGGUAUUUUAAAUAUAAUUUUUACUGAUUCUUGAGAAAAGACUAAAGCCUAAUUUUAUUGCAUCCAAAUUUCGGACCUUUUAAUCUGAUCUGACAGCUACCCAUAUAAAAUUCGCCAAGAGAUUCGUAAAAAUAUUUGGAUGCUUGAAAACGUUAAAUUUCAACUUUUUAAAAUAUACGGCGGCAGUUAUGCCAAAAAAUAAGCUUAAGCCAUAGACUUAAAAUAAAUUCUUAUUUAAGUGUAUGGCAAAGCUAUGGCUUAAGCCAAAUGUUCAUCGAAAUUUCAGUUGUUUUCUGCGAAAAAUAAUAUACCAGUAUGAAAUUCUUAAAAUGUUAAAAAAGAUUUAACGACUAUACCGUAUGAUCGAAAAAAACGGUAUUUAGAUUAUACCAAAGAAUAUACCAAGAAUUAUAAGAAUUUCGGAUGUUUUAAAUCUGACAGAAUACGUCCGAAAUUCAGAUGCAUGAAAACUAGGCUAUUGGUGUUAUAAAUGUAGCAACAUAGACAAAUAUAGCAUAAUUUAUAAAUUU